rnacentral:misc_RNA from 1 species
CAAUGAGUGUUUUAUGGCACUCUUUAAAAAUCCAUAUCCACCUUGUGUGCAAUGCUUGUUGGUAGAGAGGCAACUCUUUCCCUUCACAAAUAUCAACCUAUUUCUUUAACAACAUUCGUCUGAUAACAUAUUAUGACUAUACUUAUUAAUAAUUCAAAAUA